rnacentral:rRNA from 1 species
CGCUGGCGGCAGGCCUAACACAUGCAAGUCGAGCGGAUGACGGGAGCUUGCUCCUUGAUUCAGCGGCGGACGGGUGAGUAAUGCCUAGGAAUCUGCCUGGUAGUGGGGGACAACGUUUCGAAAGGAACGCUAAUACCGCAUACGUCCUACGGGAGAAAGCAGGGGACCUUCGGGCCUUGUGCAGAUGGAUGAGCUCGCGUCGGAUUAGCUUGUUGGUGAGGUAAAGGCUCACCAAGGCGACGAUCAGUAGCUGGUCUGAGAGGAUGAUCA